rnacentral:rRNA from 1 species
UACGGAGGGUGCAAGCGUUAAUCGGAAUUACUGGGCGUAAAGCGCACGCAGGUGGCUGAGUCAGUCGAUUGUGAAAGCCCUGGGCUUAACCUGGGAAUUGCAGUCGAUACUACUCAGCUAGAGUAUGGGAGAGGGUAGUGGAAUUCCCGGUGUAGCGGUGAAAUGCGUAGAUAUCGGGAGGAACAUCAGUGGCGAAGGCGGGUCUCUGGGCAGUAACUGACGCUGAGGAGCGAAAGCGUGGGGAGCGAACAGG